rnacentral:rRNA from 1 species
AGAGUUUGAUCCUGGCUCAGGACGAACGCUGGCGGCGUGCCUAAUACAUGCAAGUCGAGCGAAGCACUGGUUCUGCUCCUUCGGGAGACGAGCCAAUGACUUAGCGGCGGAUGGGUGAGUAACGCGUGAGGAACCUGCCUUUUACAAGGGGAUAGCCUCGGGAAACUGGGAUUAAUACCCUAUGAAACUUAAAAGUCUCAUGACUUUUAAGUCAAAGAUUUAUCGGUAUUAGAUGGUCUCGCGUCCCAUUAGCUAGUUGGUGAGAUAAAAGCUCACCAAGGCGACGAUGGGUAGCCGGCUUGAGAGAGUGAACGGCCACACUGGAACUGAGACACGGUCCAGACUCCUACGGGAGGCAGCAGUGGGGAAUCUUGCACAAUGGAGGGAACUCUGAUGCAGCGACGUCGCGUGAACGAUGAAGGCUUUCGAGUCGUAAAGUUCUGUCCUAUGGGACGAUAAUGACGGUACCAUAGGAGGAAGCCCCGGCUAACUACGUGCCAGCAGCCGCGGUAAUACGUAGGGGGCGAACGUUGUCCGGAUUUAUUGGGCGUAAAGGGUACGCAGGCGGCCAGAUAAGUCAGAUGUGAAAUCCUAGGGCUUAACCCUAGUUAGCAUUUGAAACUGUAUGGCUUGAGUUAAGGAGAGGAAAGUGGAAUUCCUGGUGUAGCGGUGAAAUGCGUAGAUAUCAGGAGGAAUACCAGUGGCGAAGGCGACUUUCUGGACUUAUACUGACGCUGAGGUACGAAAGCGUGGGGAGCAAACAGGAUUAGAUACCCUGGUAGUCCACGCUGUAAACGAUGAGUGCUAGGUGUCGGAGGGGUCACCCUUCGGUGCCGCAGCUAACGCAUUAAGCACUCCGCCUGGGGAGUACGGUCGCAAGACUAAAACUCAAAGGAAUUGACGGGGACCCGCACAAGCAGCGGAGCAUGUGGUUUAAUUCGAAGCAACGCGAAGAACCUUACCAGAACUUGACAUCCUCUGCAUCAACCUUAAUCGGUGAAAUCCCUUUUGGGACAGAGAGACAGGUGGUGCAUGGUUGUCGUCAGCUCGUGUCGUGAGAUGUUGGGUUAAGUCCCGCAACGAGCGCAACCCUUGUCUUUAGUUGCCAGCACUUUGGGUGGGCACUCUAGAGAGACUGCCAAGGUAAACUUGGAGGAAGGCGGGGAUGACGUCAAAUCAUCAUGCCCCUUAUGUUCUGGGCUACACACGUGCUACAAUGGCCGGUACAGAGGGUAGCGAGAGAGCAAUCUUAAGCCAAUCCCUAAAGCCGGUCCCAGUUCGGAUUGUGGGCUGCAACUCGCCCACAUGAAGUCGGAGUUGCUAGUAAUCGCGGAUCAGAAUGCCGUGGUGAAUGCGUUCCCGGGUCUUGUACACACCGCCCGUCACACCAUGGGAGUUGGGGGCGCCCGAAGUCAGUAAGUCAACCGCAAGGGGACAGCUGCCGAAGGCGAAAUCAAUGACUAGGGUGAAGUCGUAACAAGGUA